rnacentral:rRNA from 1 species
GGGUUGUGAGGUUAAGCGACUAAGCGUACACGGUGGAUGCCCUGGCAGUCAGAGGCGAUGAAGGACGUGCUAAUCUGCGAUAAGCGUCGGUAAGGUGAUAUGAACCGUUAUAACCGGCGAUUUCCGAAUGGGGAAACCCAGUGUGUUUCGACACACUAUCAUUAACCGAAUCCAUAGGUUAAUGAGGCGAACCGGGGGAACUGAAACAUCUAAGUACCCCGAGGAAAAGAAAUCAACCGAGAUUCCCCAAGUAGCGGCGAGCGAACGGGGAGCAGCCCAGAGCCUGAAUCAGUGUGUGUGUUAGUGGAAGCGUCUGGAAAGGCGCGCGAUACAGGGUGACAGCCCCGUACACAAAAAUGCACAUAUUGUGAGCUCGAUGAGUAGGGCGGGACACGUGGUAUCCUGUCUGAAUAUGGGGGGACCAUCCUCCAAGGCUAAAUACUCCUGACUGACCGAUAGUGAACCAGUACCGUGAGGGAAAGGCGAAAAGAACCCCGGCGAGGGGAGUGAAAAAGAACCUGAAACCGUGUACGUACAAGCAGUGGGAGCACGCUUAGGCGUGUGACUGCGUACCUUUUGUAUAAUGGGUCAGCGACUUAUAUUCUGUAGCAAGGUUAACCGAAUAGGGGAGCCGAAGGGAAACCGAGUCUUAACUGGGCGUUAAGUUGCAGGGUAUAGACCCGAAACCCGGUGAUCUAGCCAUGGGCAGGUUGAAGGUUGGGUAACACUAACUGGAGGACCGAACCGACUAAUGUUGAAAAAUUAGCGGAUGACUUGUGGCUGGGGGUGAAAGGCCAAUCAAACCGGGAGAUAGCUGGUUCUCCCCGAAAGCUAUUUAGGUAGCGCCUCGUGAAUUCAUCUCCGGGGGUAGAGCACUGUUUCGGCAAGGGGGUCAUCCCGACUUACCAACCCGAUGCAAACUGCGAAUACCGGAGAAUGUUAUCACGGGAGACACACGGCGGGUGCUAA